GACGAACGCUGGCGGCGUGCUUAACACAUGCAAGUCGAACGUGAUUUUUGUGGAAAUUCUUUCGGGAAUAGAAAUGAAAUGAAAGUGGCGAACGGGUGAGUAACACGUGAGCAACCUACCUUACACAGGGGGAUAGCCGUUGGAAACGACGAUUAAUACCGCAUGAGACCACAGAAUCGCAUGAUAUAGGGGUCAAAGAUUUAUCGGUGUAAGAAGGGCUCGCGUCUGAUUAGCUAGUUGGAAGGGUAAAGGCCUACCAAGGCGACGAUCAGUAGCCGGUCUGAGAGGAUGAACGGCCACAUUGGAACUGAGACACGGUCCAAACUCCUACGGGAGGCAGCAGUGGGGAAUAUUGCACAAUGGGGGGAACCCUGAUGCAGCGACGCCGCGUGAGCGAAGAAGGUUUUCGAAUCGUAAAGCUCUGUCCUAUGAGAAGAUAAUGACGGUAUCAUAGGAGGAAGCCCCGGCUAAAUACGUG
rnacentral:rRNA from 1 species